rnacentral:rRNA from 1 species
GGGCCCGCACAAGCGGUGGAGCAUGUGGUUUAAUUCGAUGCAACGCGAAGAACCUUACCAGGGUUUGACAUACUUGGGAGCUCUUGUAAUGAGAGUGUGCCUUUUGGAACCAAGAUACAGGUGCUGCAUGGCUGUCGUCAGCUCGUGUCGUGAGAUGUUCCGUUAAGUCGGAUAACGAGCGCAACCCUUACCCUUAUUUGCCAGCGAUUCGGUCGGGAACUAUAAGGGGACUGCCGGUGAUAAACCGGAGGAAGGUGAGGACGACGUCAAGUCAUCAUGGCCCUUACGAGUAGGGCUACACACGUGCUACAAUGGGGAAUACAGACGGACGCUAAGCCGCGAGGUGGUGCUAAUCCUAGAAAGUUUCUCGUAGUCCGGAUUGGAGUCUGCAACUCGACUCCAUGAAGUCGGAAUC